CCGGCACGGGUGAGUACCACGUAUCCAACCUGCCGUCUACUCUUGGACAGCCUUCUGAAAGGAAGAUUAAUACAAGAUGGCAUCAUGAGUUCACAUGUUCACAUGAUUAAAGGUAUUCCGGUAGACGAUGGGGAUGCGUUCCAUUAGAUAGUAGGCGGGGUAACGGCCCACCUAGUCUUCGAUGGAUAGGGGUUCUGAGAGGAAGGUCCCCCACAUUGGAACUGAGACACGGUCCAA
rnacentral:rRNA from 1 species